UGUGUGGGGAUUGAGGGGUUUGACCAGGAUAAUCCCCACAAAUUUCCUAAAAUACACUAGUACCAAACAAGGCCUAAGAGUGCAACCGACAUGAAUGCACUACAAACAACACGAACUCAGGAAAUAUUUCAGGACAAGUGGAACAAUGCCACCAAGAAAAAUAUAUAUCAAAGUAGUAUGCAUCAUAUAUAUGAAGGACAAGGAGAGGAGGACGGCAGCCAAGGAGAGGAGGAGGGCGGCGACCGAGGAGAAGAAGGUGGUCAUGGAAGAGAGAAUCAAAAGCAUUGAAUAAGAGCAAACGUUCAUUUCCAUGGACAUAAGUGGUCUUGAUGACAGAGGUCUAUGGGAGGCUUCAUGAUGGGAGGAUCCAUGGGAGGCAUGGGAGGAUUCAAGUGCCAUGGGCGCCAUGGGCGGUGCAAUGGAUGGAAUGAAAAACAAUGGUGUAAUGAGUUGCUUCCAGAUCCCAAUGACCAUAUGGGCGCCAUGGGUGGUGCAAUGGAUGCAAUGGAAGACUGAAUCUGGCAUUCACCUCAACCUCCAGCAUUUUGUGAACAUGCGACAGUGGCUUCUGGAUUUAUUAACCGAAGCUUCAGACGUCCAUGCUACGUACUGCUUUUACGGUCUGCA